AUCCCAGAUCCAAGGGUUGAUCCUUCUCAAUAUCGUGAUUUAGUACAUUAUUGGUGUUCUGAGAAAGGACAGAAAAUAAGCAACAUCAACAAAAGGAGCCGCUCAAAAUAUGAGGACUUGCAUUGCAUAGGAACCAAUAAUCUUCCAAGACGGAUUCAUGAGAUGACUACAAAGGCUAAGGGAGUGCAACCUUCUAGGGCAGAAAUUUAUAUUGACACUCGAACUCGAAAAGAUGGAAG